UACGGAGGGUGCAAACGUUGCUCGGAAUCAUUGGGCGUAAAGCGCACGUAGGCGGCCCGUUAAGUCGGAUGUGAAAGCCCAGGGCUCAACCCUGGAAGUGCAUUCGAUACUGGCAGGCUUGAAUAUGGAAGAGGAUCGCGGAAUUCCCGGUGUAGAGGUGAAAUUCGUAGAUAUCGGGAGGAACACCAGUGGCGAAGGCGGCGAUCUGGGCCAAUAUUGACGCUGAGGUGCGAAAGCGUGGGGAGCGAACAGG
rnacentral:rRNA from 1 species